GUUUAAGUAGUUUAUUAUAAAACAUUGGUCUUGUAAACCAAAAUAGAGAACAUUUAAUUCUCCUUUAACU
rnacentral:tRNA from 1 species